GAUGAACGCUGACAGAAUGCUUAACACAUGCAAGUCAACUCUUGCUGACGGGUGAGUAACGCGUAAAGAACUUGCCUCACAGUUAGGGACAACAUUUGGAAACGAAUGCUAAUACCUGAUACUGUGAGAGGUCUUUGCGUCCCAUUAGCUAGUUGGAGAGGUAACGGAUAACCAAUGCGAGGAUGGGUAGCCGGCCUGAGAGGGUGAUCGGCCACAAGGGGCCUGAGACACGGCCAUUACUCCUACGGGAGGCAGCAGUGGGGAAUAUUGGACAAUGGACCAAAGUCUGAUCCAGCAAUUCUGUGGGCACGAUGAAUUUUUCGGAAUGUAAAGUGCUUUCAGUUGGGAAGCGUUACUUCACCAGAAAGGGACGGCUAACUACGUGCCAGCAGCCGCGGUAAUUC
rnacentral:rRNA from 1 species